rnacentral:rRNA from 1 species
UACGGAGGGGGCUAGCGUUGUUGGGAAUUACUGGGCGUAAAGCGCGCGUAGGCGGACCUGCAAGUCGGGGGUGAAAGCCCGGGGCUCAACCUCGGAACUGCCUUUGAUACUGCAAAUCUCGAGUCCGGAAGAGGUGAGUGGAAUUCCUAGUGUAGAGGUGAAAUUCGUAGAUAUUAGGAAGAACACCAGUGGCGAAGGCGGCUCACUGGUCCGGUACUGACGCUGAGGUGCGAAAGCGUGGGGAGCAAACAGG